CUAUAGGUGACCAUCGAAAUAAUAAAAAAACAAAAAACAAAAGAUCGACUCGAUCUGCUCGCAUCAAUCGCUUGGGGCGUCAUCGCUGCCACCGGAGCCUCCGCCACCGGUGUCCCACACCGGAGCUGCCGCAGGCGUAGCGGCCGCCGCGGCGCCGCGACCGGCAACGCCAUCCCGCGCUGGACCUCUUCUUCUCUCCUUCCCGAUCUCGCGGUGGGAUUGCAGCGGCCGAGUGAAGGAGACCCAAAGGAGAGGGGAUAUCCAGGCACCGGAGAGGAGGGGACGGAGGAGGAGGAGGAGGAGGAGGAGGAAGAAGGUGGCCUCGCACGCAUCAGCUUUGUCCUUCCCAUGCCAGACUCGCCCACGUUCGGUUGCUGUUCUUGAUCCAACGCCCCGGUGCACACAAGGUGUUUGAGUUGAGAAUGGAUAGGAGUUGGAUGCGAGCAGCAAGGUCUUCCGCCGAGUAUUCUGAAGGAACUAGCAACUUCAUAAAAUUUGCUUUUCGUACGUCAGCAAAAAGUAAUAGGAUUCUCUGCCCUUGCAAGAUAUGUGUAAACUCUCAUUGGUUAGGUGAACUUGAAGUCUAUGAUCAUUUGAUUUAUGAUGGAUUCAUGGCUGGAUAUACCACAUGGAUUCAUCAUGGAGAAAGUAUGCGGCCCUCCGAAACAACUUCAGGUCCUAGUUCACAGUUUGAAGAAUAUGCUGAUAGUGAUGAGAUGGAUGAGAUGCUACUGGAAGGAUUCGGGAUGUAUGAUACUCGUACUUUAGGAGAGGAGCAAGAGUCUGAAGAUGACUUGGACGAUGAUGCUGAAGCAUACUAUAGAUUAGUUAAUGAUGGGCGCCAAGAGCUGUACCCAGGUUGCAAAAGAUUCUCGAAGCUGCAAUUUUUGGUGAGGUUGCUUCACAUCAAGAAUAUGAGGGGAAUGAGCAAUGUCUGCUUUGAUGAGGUAUUGAUGCUAAUUAAGGAGGCACUUCCAGAAGGUGAGGCCUUGCCCAAAAAAUUUCAUGGGGCCAAAAAGUUUGUGAGAGCCAUUGGUAUUGGAUAUAAUAGUAUAGAUGCAUGCAAAAACGAUUGCAUUCUAUUUAGGAAGGAACAUGCUGAUGCCAUAUCAUGUCCAGUGUGUGGCACAAGUAGAUGGAAGAGCGUAAAUACUGGAGUUGAUGGAAGGCGUGUCCACAAGGUGCCUCAAAAGGUGGUUCGUCAUUUCCGGCUAAAGAAGAGACUCCAAAGGUUGUUCGCUUCUACAAAGACGGCAUCAGAUAUGAGGUGGCACAGCGAAGGCCGCACAAAGGACGGCUUGAUACGACACCCAGCUGGUUCACCUGCAUGGAAACACUUUGAUGCUAUUCACAAAGACUUCAGUUCAGAAGUUUGCAAUGUUAGAUUUGGAUUGGGAGCUGAUGGUUUCAACCCUUUUGGAAAUAUGAAUCUCUCAUAUAGCAUAUGGCCUAUCAUCUUGAUCCCCUACAACCUUCCUCCAUGGAUUUGUAUGAAGCAAUCAAACUUUAUCCUCUCUGUCAUCAUUCCUGGUAAAAAAUCUCCAGGGAAAGACAUGGAUGUUUACAUGCAGCUGACCAUAGACGAUCUUCUGGAGCUUUGGAAUGAUGGAGUCUGGACUUAUGAUGCCUCUCGAUCUAAGAAGUUUCUCUUACGCGCCGCACUACUAUGGACAAUAAGUGAUUGGCCUGGGCGUGGAUCUUUGUCUGGAGAAAAUAUAGCAGUUUGCUCCCAUUGUCUAUCAGAGACAUGCUCUCUUUGGUUAAAGAAUGGACACAAGAAAUGCUAUAUGGGACAUCGCAGAUUCUUGGAACCUAAUCACGAGUUUCGAUUUGAUGCUGAGUCAUUUGAUGGUUUUGAGGAACAUCGAGAGCCUCCCGUUCCCCUUUCAUCACAUGAAAUUUCAAUAUUGACAAAGGACAUGAAAACUACAUACGGGAAAUUGCAGCAGAAGAGCAGCAGGAAGCGACACCGUAAUCAGGUAGAUGAGAAUGAUACAAGCGUGCAGCAAGACACUUCAAUAUUCAGAAAGAGAAGUUGCUUCUUUCAGCUGCCAUACUGGGAAACACUUCUAUUGCGUCAUAAUCUGGAUCCUAUGCACAUAGAGAAGAAUGUGUUUGAGAAUAUUGCCCAUACCCUUCUGAAUGUUAGCAAAAGAUCAAAGGACAAUCUAAAUGCACGUCUUGACCUACAACAGUUGAAUAUACGCCAAGACCAACAUCCAGAUUUAACUGGAAGUAAACCAUACCUACCUCCGGCAUUAUACUACUUGGAUUCACAUGGUGCUAAGAUGUUUUGCCAGGUUCUAAAGGAUGCUAGGUUUCCUGAGGGCUAUGCAUCCAACUUGCACAACAAAGUGGAUAUGGUGAGAAAGAGAUUAAAUGGACUAAAGAGCCAUGAUUGUCAUAUUAUAAUGCGUGAUCUGUUGCCCUUAGCCAUUAGGAGAACUUUGCCUAAAGAUGUUUGUAUUCCAUUGAUGCGUUUGUGCAACUACUUCAAGCAAUUAUACUCUAAGGUUAUCACCGUGAGUGAGAUACAAAAGUUGGAGGAUGAGAUUCCUGAAAUCAUGUGCCAAUUGGAGAAAGUAUUCCCUCCUUCCUUUUUUGACAUCAUGGAACACUUGACCAUUCAUCUUGCAACUGAAGUACGGAUUGCUGGACCGGUGCAUUACCGAAGCAUGUGGGCUGUUGAGAGGUUUUUGGGCAAGUUGAAGAGUAUGAUCCAUACGCUAAGUCACCCAGAGCGAUCAAUAGCAGAGGGAUAUGUUUUGGAUGACACUCUUACAUUUUGCUCACGAUAUUUGCAUGGCUGUCCAACCAUAUUCACUCAAACAGGACGACAUAAUGAUUUUAUUGGCCCCAAUGACUCGACAAACCAUCAGCCAUACUUGAGAAUAGUCGGUCGUCCUUUAUUUGGUCCUUGUGUUGAAGAACUAGACUACACGUCAUGGAUCCAAGCUCAAAGAUAUGUGUUGGUCAAUUACCCCCACAUUGCUCCAUAUGUCCAACAACAUCAUGAUAUUCUAUCAGCGGGUCAACGCAAAAGAAUACGUGAUGUAGAACGCUCCCAUCACAAUAGUUUCCACACUUGGUUUGCUGACCAUGUUCAAUCAUUGAUUUCCAAUAAUGUUAAGAUCCCUGAAGAAGUUAAAGUCUUAGCACAAAAGCCAUAUCGGAUGGUGAGAAAGUACAACGCUUACUCUAUAAAUGGAUGCACUUUCCACACAAGGGGAUAUGGUGACGGAAAAGAAGCGCAAUGUGAUGGAGUAUCUAUGAUUGCAAAGACAUCUAGUUUCUCAAGUGCUAAAGAUAAGAAUCCAGCUUUAGGAGAUGUUGUUUAUUAUGGCCGAAUCACUGAAAUAGUUGAGCUCAAUUAUUCAAACAAAGGCAGCGUGGUUUUAUUCAAGUGUGAUUGGGUUGACAGUGUUCGCCCUGAUGCUGGGGUUCGUAAGGACCCAUAUGGAAUAACUGAGGUGAAUUUUAACCAUAUGCUAAGCAGCGGCAAUGACAUAUUUGAUGAGCCAUUUAUCCUCGCAACUCAAGCCACCCAAGUAUAUUAUGUACAAGAUUCUAUAGAGAGGGAUUGGUACGCUGUGGUUCAUCCACCUACAAGAGACUUCUUUGAUAUGGAGGCUAGAAUUGAUGGGCAUGAAGAAUAUUAGACUAGGAUUAGGAAAUAUGAUGACUUCGAGAUCAAGAUCUGAUGCAUUUAUUCAGUCCCAUGUGUCUGACCAUGAAAGAAGAUUGAAUGACCUGAAUUAUAGAGUCAGACAAGUUAAUCUACCUCAAAUGGAAUGCAUUAAUGCUAUCAAACAAAUUAAAGCAGAAGCUUCAAACAGGGAUAAAUUAGAACACUUCACUAUGAAUUCCAGAGCUGAAGAAGAUGUUGACUUAAGGAGCCAUGAGGGAAGUGGUGAGGAAACUGAAUCAAAAGAUGAAGAAGAUGACGGUGAACAUGGUGAUGAAACUGAAUCAGAAGAUGAAGAAGGUGAGUCUGGACAAGAAGAUGAACAUGAACAAGAAGAGGAAGUUCGACAAGAACAGGAG